CUUCAUCUCCUCUAUCGCUUUCAGCUCUUCGCGUUCUCUUCUCAAGUCUUCUAGUUCCAUCCUGAGAGAAUUCACCAAACUUCGGAGAGAGCAUUCGUCAUCAGCAGCUUCUUGUAGCCUCAUCGUUGCUUCAUUAAGCUCAUUUGUAAUGAUCUUAACCGUGUUCAUCUCUGAUUCAUGAGCUUUCUUCAUCUCUUCCCGUAAAACCUCAAUCUCUGAAGUUGUCUCUAACAGCUUGGCUUCAAGAGUUCUUGAGAGCUCAGGCUCAUAUUCUUUCCUCAACACUAGCAGUUUCUUCUCUGCCUCUUCAACAGCAGUUCUAUAACAUUCUCGUAAAUCGUCUUUUUCCUUAACAAUAUUAGCGUGCUCCUGCAGAUUCUGAGCAGCCGCUAGCUUGAGCUGAUGAAUCGCAUCUUUCAUAUCCGAAAUCUCCUUAGAAAGCUCGUUAACUUUGGCGGAGUUGACUUGGAGUGCACGUUGAGCUUCUGCAGCCUGGUUUAAGGCCGUGGCUUUGAAAUCCAUAGCGGAAUCAAAGCUCUGUCUAAUUUUGUUGAGCUGCUGUUUUGCAGCAUCAAGUUCAACGGUGGUGGAGAUAUAUUGUUCUCUAGCGACGUCAAGUUCAUGGUGAUGAGGAGGAGAGCCAUGACACUUAUCAUGCUCAAGCUGUUCUUCCCGCUGUUGGACAGUUUCUUUGGUGUCAAUAGCUGAUUGCUUAGACUUGUUGACAGUCUCAAGUUUGUUGCUAAGAUCCUCCAUUGUCUUCUUCGCCUUUGAGAGAUCGUCUAGAGCACGAGAUCUUGUGCUCUCAGCGUUGUCAAGCUUUUGCUUGAUCUUCAUGAAUUCCUUGUGGACCAGCAUUAGCUGUGUUUCCUUGUCGCAAACGCUCUGAAACAUAACAUAAACAAAUAUUUUUAGUUUUGCACACAACACAAUCUGUUACCUAGACAUAUUCUGGUCAUCUAAAACCAUG